rnacentral:rRNA from 1 species
AGAGUUUGAUCAUGGCUCAGGACGAACGCUGGCGGCGUGCCUAACACAUGCAAGUCGAGCGAAGUUUAUUUAGCAGCGACUUCGGUCAAAGCUGAUUAAACUUAGCGGCGAACGGGUGAGUAACACGUAGGCAACCUGCCCAUGACACGGGGAUAGCUUCGGGAAACCGGAGGUAAUACCCGAUACCUUUACUUAUUGCAUGAUAAGUAAAGAAAGCGAAUAGCGGUCAUGGAUGGGCCUGCGUCCCAUUAGCUAGUUGGUGAGAUAACAGCCCACCAAGGCGACGAUGGGUAGCCGACCUGAGAGGGUGACCGGCCACACUGGAACUGAGACACGGUCCAGACUCCUACGGGAGGCAGCAGUGGGGAAUCUUGCGCAAUGGGCGAAAGCCUGACGCAGCGACGCCGCGUGAGCGAAGAAGGCCUUCGGGUCGUAAAGCUCAGUCAUUGGGGAUGAGAUGACAGUACCCAAGGAGGAAGCCCCGGCUAACUACGUGCCAGCAGCCGCGGUAAUACGUAGGGGGCGAGCGUUGUCCGGAAUUACUGGGUGUAAAGGGCGUGUAGGCGGGGGUGCAAGUUACCGGUAAAAACCCAGGGCUCAACUCUGGGCUUGCCGGUAAAACUGCAUCUCUUGAGUGUAGGAGAGGGAAGUGGAAUUCCCGGAGUAGCGGUGAAAUGCGUAGAUACCGGGAGGAACACCAGUGGCGAAGGCGGCUUCCUGGCCUACAACUGACGCUGAGGCGCGAAAGCUAGGGUAGCGAACGGGAUUAGAUACCCCGGUAGUCCUAGCCGUAAACGAUGGUCACUAGGUGUGGGUGGUGGUCAAGCCAUCCGUGCCGGAGCUAACGCAAUAAGUGACCCACCUGGGGAGUACGGCCGCAAGGCUGAAACUCAAAUGAAUUGACGG